rnacentral:piRNA from 1 species
UAAUUCCAGAUUUUCAAAGUG